UACAGAGGUCUCAAGCGUUGUUCGGAUUCAUUGGGCGUAAAGGGUGCGUAGGCGGCGCGGUAAGUCGGGUGUGAAAUCUUGGAGCUUAACUCCGAAACUGCAUUCGAUACUGCCGUGCUUGAGGACUGGAGAGGAGACUGGAAUUUACGGUGUAGCGGUGAAAUGCGUAGAUAUCGUAAGGAAGACCAGUGGCGAAGGCGGGUCUCUGGACAGUUCCUGACGUGAGGCACGAAGGUCAGGGGGAGCAAACGGG
rnacentral:rRNA from 1 species